GACGUAGGGGGCGAGCGUUGUCCGGAAUCACUGGGCGUAAAGAGCUCGUAGGCGGGGUUGCGCGUCGCGGAGUAAAUCCAUCUGCUCAACGGGUGGUUCAUCUGCGAUACGGCAACUCUUGAGGACAGGAGAGGGAAGCGGAAUUCCGGGUGUAGCGGUGAAAUGCGUAGAUAUCCGGAGGAACACCAGUGGCGAAGGCGGCUUCCUGGCCUGAUUCUGACGCUGAGGAGCGAAAGCCAGGGGAGCGAACGGG
rnacentral:rRNA from 1 species